rnacentral:rRNA from 1 species
UAGGGAAUCUUCGGCAAUGGACGAACGUCUGACCGAGCAACGCCGCGUGAGUGAAGAAGGUUUUCGGAUCGUAAAACUCUGUUGUUAGAGAAGAACAAGGACGUUAGUAACUGAACGUCCCCUGACGGUAUCUAACCAGAAAGCCACGGCUAACUACGUGCCAGCAGCCGCGGUAAUACGUAGGUGGCAAGCGUUGUCCGGAUUUAUUGGGCGUAAAGCGAGCGCAGGCGGUUUCUUAAGUCUGAUGUGAAAGCCCCCGGCGCAACCGGGGAGGGUCAUUGGAAACUGGGAGACUUGAGUGCAGAAGAGGAGAGUGGAAUUCCAUGUGUAGCGGUGAAAUGCGUAGAUAUAUGGAGGAACACCAGUGGCGAAGGCGGCUCUCUGGUCUGUAACUGACGCUGAGGCUCGAAAGCGUGGGGAGCAAACAGG